GGCUCUGUGGCGCAAUGGAUAGCGCGUUGGACUUCUAAUUCAAUGGUUGUGGGUUCGAGUCCAACUAGAGUCG
rnacentral:tRNA from 1 species